UGCGCGAGUCAUUGGGACGAGCGAAACCUAAAGGCGCAAUGAAAGUGAAAGUCGGCCUCGCGCUGACCGAGGGAGGAUGGGUGGCGGCACCGUCGCCGCCCCGCACUCCCGGGGCGUCUCGUUCUCAUCGCGAGAAGAGGCGCACCCAGAGCGUACACGCUGGGACCCGAAAGAUGGUGAACUAUGCCUGGUCAGGACGAAGUCAGGGGAAACCCUGAUGGAGGUCCGUAGCGAUUCUGACGUGCAAAUCGAUCGUCGGAACUGGGUAUAGGGGCGAAAGACUAAUCGAACCAUCUAGUAGCUGGUUCCCUCCGAAGUUUCCCUCAGGAUAGCUGGCGCUCGCUUUGCGAGUCUCAUCCGGUAAAGCGAAUGAUUAGAGGCAUUGGGGUCGAAACGGCCUCAACCUAUUCUCAAACUUUAAAUGGGUGAGAUCUCCGGCUUGCUCGAACUUGAAGCCGCGAGAAUAUUCACUAAGGAUCAGAGUGCCAAGUGGGCCACUUUUGGUAAGCAGAACUGGCGCUGUGGGAUGAACCAAACGCCGAGUUAAAGCGCCUAAAUCGACGCUUAUGGGAUACCAUGAAAGGCGUUG
rnacentral:rRNA from 1 species